rnacentral:rRNA from 1 species
AACGUAGGUCACAAGCGUUGUCCGGAAUUACUGGGUGUAAAGCGAGCGCAGGCGGGAAGACAAGUUGGAAGUGAAAUCCAUGGGCUCAACCCAUGAACUGCUUUCAAAACUGUUUUUCUUGAGUAGUGCAGAGGUAGGCGGAAUUCCCGGUGUAGCGGUGGAAUGCGUAGAUAUCGGGAGGAACACCAGUGGCGAAGGCGGCCUACUGGGCACCAACUGACGCUGAGGCUCGAAAGUGUGGGUAGCAAACAGG